CCUACGGGUGGCAGCAGUGGGGAAUAUUGGACAAUGGGCGAAAGCCUGAUCCAGCCAUGCCGCGUGUGUGAAGAAGGCCUUCGGGUUGUAAAGCACUUUCAGUGGGGAAGAAAGCCUUGGGGCUAAUACCCUCGAGGAAGGACAUCACCCACAGAAGAAGCACCGGCUAACUCCGUGCCAGCAGCCGCGGUAAUACGGAGGGUGCGAGCGUUAAUCGGAAUUACUGGGCGUAAAGCGCGCGUAGGCGGUCUGAUAAGCCGGUUGUGAAAGCCCCGGGCGCAACCUGGGAACGGCAUCCGGAACUGUCAGGCUAGAGUGCAGGAGAGGAAGGUAGAAUUCCCGGUGUAGCGGUGAAAUGCGUAGAGAUCGGGAGGAAUACCAGUGGCGAAGGCGGCCUUCUGGACUGACACUGACGCUGAGGUGCGAAAGCGUGGGUAGCAAACAGGAUUAGAUACCCCAGUAGUC
rnacentral:rRNA from 1 species